rnacentral:misc_RNA from 1 species
UCCCCGUUAUCCGAGGCAGUCUCCCAAGAGUGCAUCCCUUGCGGGAUUAGCAACAUAGGAUAGGGGUUGCGCUCGUUGCGGGACUUAACCCAACAUCUCACGACACGAGCUGACGACAACCAUGCAGCACCUCUACUGGCAACCGACUUGACGGUUCGUUUCCUGUUUCCAAGAAACUACUACCAGCACUUCGAGCCCAGGUAAGGUUCUUCGCGUUGCGUCGAAUUAAACCACAUGCUCCACCGCUUGUGCGGGCCCCCGUCAAUUCCUUUGAGUUUCAGCCUUGCGGCCGUACUCCCCAGGCGGUUCACUUAAUGCGUUAGCGUCGGCGCGGGAGGGGUCGAUACCUCCCACACCUAGUGAACAUCGUUUACGGCUAGGACUAC